rnacentral:rRNA from 1 species
GAUGAACGCUGGCGGCGUGCCUAAUACAUGCAAGUCGAGCGAACAGACGAGGAGCUUGCUCCUCUGACGUUAGCGGCGGACGGGUGAGUAACACGUGGAUAACCUACCUAUAAGACUGGGAUAACUUCGGGAAACCGGAGCUAAUACUGGAUAAUAUAUUGAACCGCAGGGUUCAAUAGUGAAAGACGGUUUUGCUGUCACUUAUAGAUGGAUCCGCGCCGCAUUAGCUAGUUGGUAAGGUAACGGCUUACCAAGGCAACGAUGCGUAGCCGACCUGAGAGGGUGAUCGGCCACACUGGAACUGAGACACGGUCCAGACUCCUACGGGAGGCAGCAGUAGGGAAUCUUCCGCAAUGGGCGAAAGCCUGACGGAGCAACGCCGCGUGAGUGAUGAAGGUCUUCGGAUCGUAAAACUCUGUUAUUAGGGAAGAACAAAUGUGUAAGUAACUAUGCACGUCUUGACGGUACCUAAUCAGAAAGCCACGGCUAACUACGUG